rnacentral:lncRNA from 1 species
CAUAGGGAACACUGACCGUAGGCAAUGUACAAAAAACAGCAUGAGGGCAUAUUUGACUACUCCAGUGUUGUCGAGAGCUUGAGAGAAUUGUGUGUAUCUCAUUUGCAACGCAAAGAAGAGUCAUGGGCAGACGCAUCAUCAGUCAUGCACUUAACCUCAUCGAGGUUUUAUAAACAUUGAAGUGAUCCGUCAUGUGUUGAAUCGAACAACAAGUCACGAUAUGUAGUGUAUAAAGAGCUCAAUGCCUUUUGCUCGAGUCAAACUCCAUUAGACGUGCUUGAUUUUGAUAUUGUCCAAGAAGAGAUUGAUAUGUUCUUGAACUGACAAGGGUUUAACAUUUCUGUGUAACCAAAUGGACCAUAGAUUGAGAGGGAGUAUAACAGAGUUGCAACUUAUUAAAUCUGUAGGUUUGCAUGGUAACCAUCA